rnacentral:rRNA from 1 species
CGUAAACAAAGGGAAGCGAGCCUGUGAGGGGGAGCAAAUCUCAAAAAUAACGUCCCAGUUCGGACUGUAGUCUGCAACCCGACUACACGAAGCUGGAAUCGCUAGUAAUCGCGAAUCAGCAUGUCGCGGUGAAUACGUUCCCGGGUCUUGUACACACCGCCCGUCACACCAUGGGAGUCGAUAACGCCCGAAGUCGGUGACCCAACCGCAAGGAGGGAGCCGCCGAAGGCGGGAUUGGUAACUGGGGUGAAGUCGUAACAAGGUAUC